rnacentral:tRNA from 1 species
ACCUGGGUGGCUCAGUUGGUUGAGCGUCUGACUUCGGCUCAGGCCAUGAUCUCGCGGUCGUGAGUUCAAGCCCCACGUCGGGCU